UACGAAGGGGGCUAGCGUUGCUCGGAAUCACUGGGCGUAAAGCGCACGUAGGCGGAUUGCUAAGUCAGGGGUGAAAUCCUGGAGCUCAACUCCAGAACUGCCUUUGAUAGUGGCGACCUUGAGUCCGGGAGAGGUGAGUGGAACUGCGAGUGUAGAGGUGAAAUUCGUAGAUAUUCGCAAGAACACCAGUGGCGAAGGCGGCUCACUGGCCCGGUACUGACGCUGAGGUGCGAAAGCGUGGGGAGCAAACAGG
rnacentral:rRNA from 1 species